AGUGAACGCUGGCGGCGUGCCUAAUACAUGCAAGUCGAACGGAGUGGCGCACGGGGGAGUAAUAUAUAGCUAAUCUGCCCCUUGCUGGAGGACAACCGUUAGAAAUGACUGCUAAUACUCCAUAGCAAGGGAUGAGAGUACAUCGUAUCAGCUAGUCGGUGGGGUAAAGGCCGACCGAGGCUAUGACGCGUAACUGGUCUGAGAGGAUGAGGAGGAACAUUGGAACGGAGACAGGGUGCAAACUCAUACGGGAGGCGGCAGUAGGGAAUAUUGCGCAAUGGGGGAAACGCAGAAGGGUCAACGGCGCGUAGAGGAUGACACUUGUCGGAGCGUAAACUACAGUUGUUAGGGAAGCGGUACCUGACGAAUAAGCACCGGCUAACUCCGUGCCAGCAGCCGCGGUAAUAC
rnacentral:rRNA from 1 species